AACGUUUUGUGGACUUGUUGUCAGUCGCGCUAUUGUGAGGAUGGAGUCGGAGUCAGAAUGUAAUGGCGGCCGUCUCCGGCUCAGUGACGUCACUCGCGUCAUCGGCCGGGAAGCCGAGUUGCUGCAUUGCGGCGGGCGCGCGCGCGCGCGCGCGCAGGGGAACGGCUAGGUGCGGGAUCCGUCCGGUGUCAAAGAAUGGCAUUUGACGCACAUCCAUUUUCGAUAGCGGAGGUCCUCGUGCCGGUCGCAGGUGAACUGGAGCCCAUCUCGGCUGAUUUUGGGCGACGUUUCAACUCAUUCAAACAGUUUCGCUGAUUAAAAGUGUUGAUGUCAGCUGGCCAUGUCCACCGUGGUGUACCCUCGCGAAGAAGCCCUGGAGCGUCUGAGCCAGGACGAGAUCGUGGUCAACACCAAGGCCGUCGUGCAGGGCUUGGAGACGCUGCGCGGCGAGCACGCCCGGCUCCUCGACUCGCUUCUCGACUGCGCCCAGCCGUCCGCCGCGCAGGAAAAGUCCGCCGCGCUCCGCCAGAGCAUGGAGGCCAUUGAGCUGGGCUUGGGAGAAGCUCAAGUGAUCGUCGCCCUGUCGGGCCACCUGAGCGCCGUCGAGUCGGAGAAGCAGAAGCUGCGCACCCAAGUGCGCCGCCUGUGCCAGGAGAACCGGUGGCUGCGCGACGAGCUGGCGGCCACGCAGCGCAAGCUGCAGCGCAGCGAGCAGAGCGUGGCGCAGCUGGAGGAGGAGAAGAAGCACCUGGAGUUCAUGAACCAGAUCAAGAAGCUGGACGACGACGACGACGACGACGCCGCCGCCUCGCCGUCGGCGGAGAAGGACCGAAGCUCGGGCGGGGAGGCGUCCAAGGACAGCCUGGACGACUUGUUCCCCAACGACGACGAGCACGGGGCGGCUCAGCCGAGCGGCGAGGCGGCGGCGCGGCAGGGCGGUUACGAAAUCCCCGCCCGCCUCAGGACGCUCCACAACCUGGUGAUCCAGUACGCCUCGCAGGGCCGCUACGAGGUGGCCGUGCCGCUGUGCAAGCAGGCCUUGGAGGACCUGGAGAAGACGUCGGGGCACGAUCACCCCGACGUGGCCACCAUGCUCAACAUCCUGGCUCUGGUCUACAGGGACCAGAAUAAGUACAAAGAAGCGGCGCACCUCCUCAAUGACGCCCUCGCCAUCCGAGAGAAGACGCUGGGCAAGGACCACCCGGCGGUGGCGGCCACCCUCAACAACCUGGCCGUCCUCUACGGCAAGAGGGGCAAGUACAAGGAGGCGGAGCCUCUGUGCGAGCGAGCGCUGGAGAUCCGGGAGAAGGUGUUGGGCAGGUACCACCCCGACGUGGCCAAGCAGCUCAACAACCUGGCGCUGCUGUGCCAGAACCAGGCCAAGUACACCGAGGUGGAGUACUACUACCGCCGCGCGUUGGAGAUCUACCAGUCCGAGCUGGGCGCCGACGACCCCAACGUGGCCAAGACCAAAAACAACCUGGCGACGUGCUACCUGAAGCAGGGCAAGUUCAAGGACGCCGAGGCGCUCUACAAAGACAUCCUGACCCGAGCGCACGAGCGCGACUUCGGCUCCGUCCGCACCCCGCGAUCAACACCACCCUCAAGAGUCUGGGCGCCCUGUACCGCCGCCAGGGCAAACUGGAGGCGGCCGAGACGCUGGAGGAGUGCGCCGGCAAGUCCCGCAAGCAGGGCUUUGACGCCGUCGAUCGAAGCAAGGUGGUGGAGCUCCUCAAGGACGGAGGAGGAGAGCGCCGAUACAGCAGGGAAGGAGGGAACGGCUCCGGGGCGCCGAGGGGCGACGGCGAGGCCGACGACUCCGGCGAGUGGAACGGGGUCAGUCCUCCGCGUCGAUGGCAAAACGCGCUCAAGUGAAGACUUGUCCGUUUCUCAGAGUUUUCCCCAAAAGACGAAAAACCGGUAGCCGUUUUAGCCACGGUCUUGCUCAGCCCGAUGAUGUCGCGACCAUUCCCAAAGGACUGUUCCGCUUUUCUUCCGUAUCCGUGCGGCUGUACUGAAACAAAUACAUUUCGAAUCGAUGACAGAGACGGAAAACCAAAGCGAUAAUUAGGCGAUAAUGACUUUGAUUUUGGCCAAUUUACACUCCUUCAAAUUGAUUCGCUCACAACCGUUACCCAAACGCUCUCGCAAAGCCGGACGCCAAAAGCGCGCGCGCGCGUUGAAUUUCUGCGGCGUCGUCGUAGGACGGAAACGGCUCCCUCCGCCGUAGCGGCUCCUUCGGGAAGAUCCGCGACGCCCUGAGGAGGAGCAGCGAGAUGCUGGUGAAAAAGCUGCAGGGCAGCGGCCCGCGAGAACCGCGCAACCCAGGAAUGAAGAGAGCGAGCUCCCUCAA